AGCCCUGAAAAUGGAUGGCGCUUGAGCGAAAGACCUAUACCCGGCCGUUACUGGCUUGUGCGAUGGCUAACGCCUGGCCGUAACGAGUAGGAGGGUCGUGGUGGUUGCGUUGAAGGCUUAGGGCGUAGGCCCGGCUGGAGCUUCCAUCAGUGCAGAUCUCGGUGGUAGUAGCAAAUAUUUAAGUUCGAUCCUUGAAGACUGAAGUGGGGAAGGGUUCCACGUGAACAGUAGUUGAAUGUGGGUCAGUCGAUCCUAAGAUACUGGCUUAUGCCUUGUAUCAUCGAGAGGGAGAAGUUUCUUCUCUCUCGGAUAUCGAAAGGGAAUAGAGUUAAUAUUCUCUAACGCAGACAUAGAGAUUGUGGCUCUUUGAGUUGCUUGCGCGGUAACGCAUUCGAACUCGGUAACGUCGCUUAGAGACCGAGCUAGAGUUUUCUUCUCUAGUUAAGGAACGGACUCCCUAGGAAUCGGUUCAUCCGGAGAUAGGGACGUUGUUUCCGUAAAGCACCGCGGUUUCUGUGGUGUCUCGUGCUCUCUGAACGGCCCUUGAAAAACCGAGGGAGGCUAUUAAUCUAUGCUGCAUCGUACCGAUAUCCGCAUCAGGUCCUCAAGGUGAACAGCCUCUAGUCGAUAGAAUAAUGUAGGUAAGGGAAGUCGGCAAAUUAGAUCCGUAACUUCGGGAAAAGGAUUGGCUCCAGUGAUCGGGUCGGUUGGCCUGUUCACUGAUACUUGUAUGGUUUCGUUCGUGGCUGGCUGAUGCUAACGCUGAUGUCGGACUAGUGAUGAGACAGUCUUGUGGACGUUUAUAGGUGUAGUGCUUUGCUUUCGAGCUUAGUAUCCUGACCGGCCAUUAAAACGGUCGAACUGGAACUGGUACGGACUCGGGGAAUCCGACUGUCUAAUUAAAACAGAGGAGACAGAUGGUCCUUGCGGACGUUUACUGUCUCUGAUUUCUGCCCAGUGCUCUGAAUGUUAAAUCGUAGUAAUUCGAGUAAGCGCGGGUAAACGGCGGGAGUAACUAUGACUCUCUUAAGGUA
rnacentral:ncRNA from 1 species